AGAGUUUGAUCGUGGCUCAGAAUGAACGCUGGCGGCGUGCUUAACACAUGCAAGUCGAACGAUGAAGCCUAGCUUGCUAGGUGGAUUAGUGGCGCACGGGUGAGUAAUAUAUAGAUAACGUGCCUCUUAGUCUGGGAUAGCCAUUGGAAACGAUGAUUAAUACUAGGUACUCCUUCUCUUUAUAAUGAGAGUUGGGAAAGUUUUUCGCUAAGAGAUCGGUCUAUAUCCCAUCAGCUUGUUGGUAGUGUAAGAGACUACCAAGGCUAUGACGGGUAGCGGGUUUGAGAGGAUGAUCCGCCACACUGGUACCGAGACACGGACCAGACUCCUACGGGAGGCAGCAGUGAGGAAUAUUGCACAAUGGAGGAAACUCUGAUGCAGCAACGCCGCGUGGAGGAUGACGCAUUUCGGUGUGUAAACUCCUUUUAUGAGUCAAGAAAAUGACGGUAUCAUAUGAAUAAGCGCCGGAUAACUCCGUGCCAGCAGCCGCGGUAAUACGGAGGGCGCAAGCGUUACUCGGAAUCACUGGGCGUAAAGAGCGUGUAGGCGGGUAUUUAAGUUGGAAGUGAAAUCCUAUGGCUCAACCAUAGAACUGCUUCCAAAACUGAAUACCUAGAAUAUGGGAGAGGUAGAUGGAAUUUCUGGUGUAGGGGUAAAAUCCGUAGAGAUCAGAAGGAAUACCGAUUGCGAAGGCGAUCUACUGGAACAUUAUUGACGCUGAGACGCGAAAGCGUGGGGAGCAAACAGGAUUAGAUACCCUGGUAGUCCACGCCCUAAACGAUGUACAUUAGUUGUUGCGAUGCUAGACAUUGCAGUAAUGCAGUUAACACAUUAAAUGUACCGCCUGGGGAGUACGGUCGCAAGAUUAAAACUCAAAGGAAUAGACGGGGACCCGCACAAGCGGUGGAGCAUGUGGUUUAAUUCGACGAUACGCGAAGAACCUUACCUGGCCUUGACAUAGAAAGAAUUUAGCAGAGAUGUAAAAGUGCUAGUUUACUAGAGCUUUCAUACAGGUGCUGCACGGCUGUCGUCAGCUCGUGUCGUGAGAUGUUAGGUUAAGUCCUGCAACGAGCGCAACCCUCGUGUUUAGUUACUAACAGUUCGGCUGAGGACUCUAGACAUACUGCCUGGGCAACCAGGAGGAAGGUGAGGACGACGUCAAGUCAUCAUGGCCCUUACGGCCAGGGCUACACACGUGCUACAAUGGGGUAUACAAAGAGCCGCAAUACCGCGAGGUGGAGCAAAUCUCAUAAAAUAUCUCCCAGUUCGGAUUACACUCUGCAACUCGAGUGUAUGAAGUUGGAAUCGCUAGUAAUCGUAGAUCAGCAAUGCUACGGUGAAUACGUUCCCGGGUCUUGUACUCACCGCCCGUCACACCAUGGGAGUUGAAUUCAUUCGAAGCGGGGAUGCUAAAAUAGCUACCUUCCACAGUGGAUUUAGUAACUAGGGUGAAGUCGUAACAAGGUAACC
rnacentral:rRNA from 1 species